AGAUUGAACGCUAGCGGGAUGCUUUACACAUGCAAGUCGAACGGCAGCGCGGACUUCGGUCUGGCGGCGAGUGGCGAACGGGUGAGUAAUAUAUCGGAACGUGCCCAGUAGCGGGGGAUAACUACGCGAAAGCGUGGCUAAUACCGCAUACGCCCUACGGGGGAAAGGGGGGGAUCGCAAGACCUCUCACUAUUGGAGCGGCCGAUAUCAGAUUAGCUAGUUGGUGAGGUAAAGGCUCACCAAGGCGACGAUCUGUAGCUGGUUUGAGAGGACGACCAGCCACACUGGGACUGAGACACGGCCCAGACUCCUACGGGAGGCAGCAGUGGGGAAUUUUGGACAAUGGGCGAAAGCCUGACGCAGCCAUGCCGCGUGUAUGAUGAAGGUCUUAGGAUUGUAAAAUACUUUACACCGGUGAAGAUAAUGACUGUAGCCGGAGAAGAAGCCCCGACUAACUUCGUGCCAGCAGCCGCGU
rnacentral:rRNA from 1 species